AUUGAACGCUGGCGGCAGGCUUUACACAUGCAAGUCGAACGGUAACAGGCCGCAAGGUGCUGACGAGUGGCGAACGGGGGAGUAAUGCAUCUGAACGUGUCCAGGCUUGGGGGAUAAAUACUCGGGAGAGUAGCUAAUACCGCGUACGAGCUAUGGGUGAAAGCGGGGGACCGUAAGGCCUCGCACGAUUGCAGCUGCCGAUGUCAGAUUAGGUAGUUGGUGGGGUAAAGGCUCACCAAGCCAACGAUCUGUAUCUGGUCUGAGAGGACGACCAGUCACACUGGGACUGAGACACGGUCCAGACUCCUACGGGAGGCAGCAGUGGGGAAUUUUGGACAAUGGGCGCAAGCCUGAUCCAGCCAUGCCACGUGUAGGAAGAAGGCCUUCGGGUUGUAAACUGCUUUUGUACGGAAGGAAACGCAUCUGGUUAAUACCUUGGGCUAAUGACGGUACCGUAAGAAUAAGCACCGGCUAACUACGUG
rnacentral:rRNA from 1 species